rnacentral:rRNA from 1 species
GUCUUUUUGAAGUAUAUAUAAAGUCUGACCUGCCCACUGAAAUUUAAAUGGCCGCAGUACACUAACUGUGCAAAGGUAGCAUAAUAAUUAGUCUUUUAAUUGAAGGCUGGAAUGAAUGGUUGGACGAAAUAUUAACUGUUUCAUUAGAAUUUGUAAUAGAAUUUUAUUUUUUAGUCAAAAAGCUAAAAUUUUUUUAAAAGACGAGAAGACCCUAUAAAGCUUUAUAAAUUUUAAAAAUUAAUUUAAUUAGGAUCUUUUAUAUUCAUUUUUAUAAUUUAUUUUAUUGGGGUGAUAUUAAAAUUUAAUAAACUUUUAAUUUAUUAAUACAUUGAUUUAUGGAAAACUGAUCCACUUUUUGUGAUUAAAAAAUCAAGUUACUUUAGGGAUAACAGCGUAAUUUUUUUGGAGAGUUCAUAUCGAUAAAAAAGAUUGCGACCUCGAUGUUGGAUUAAGGAAUAAUUUUAG